rnacentral:rRNA from 1 species
UUAAGCGACUAAGCGUACACGGUGGAUGCCCUGGCAGUCAGAGGCGAUGAAGGACGUGCUAAUCUGCGAUAAGCGUCGGUAAGGUGAUAUGAACCGUUAUAACCGGCGAUUUCCGAAUGGGGAAACCCAGUGUGUUUCGACACACUAUCAUUAACUGAAUCCAUAGGUUAAUGAGGCGAACCGGGGGAACUGAAACAUCUAAGUACCCCGAGGAAAAGAAAUCAACCGAGAUUCCCCCAGUAGCGGCGAGCGAACGGGGAGGAGCCCAGAGCCUGAAUCAGUGUGUGUGUUAGUGGAAGCGUCUGGAAAGGCGCGCGAUACAGGGUGACAGCCCCGUACACAAAAAUGCACAUGCUGUGAGCUCGAUGAGUAGGGCGGGACACGUGGUAUCCUGUCUGAAUAUGGGGGGACCAUCCUCCAAGGCUAAAUACUCCUGACUGACCGAUAGUGAACCAGUACCGUGAGGGAAAGGCGAAAAGAACCCCGGCGAGGGGAGUGAAAAAGAACCUGAAACCGUGUACGUACAAGCAGUGGGAGCCUCUUUUAUGGGGUGACUGCGUACCUUUUGUAUAAUGGGUCAGCGACUUAUAUUCUGUAGCAAGGUUAACCGAAUAGGGGAGCCGAAGGGAAACCGAGUCUUAACUGGGCGUUAAGUUGCAGGGUAUAGACCCGAAACCCGGUGAUCUAGCCAUGGGCAGGUUGAAGGUUGGGUAACACUAACUGGAGGACCGAACCGACUAAUGUUGAAAAAUUAGCGGAUGACUUGUGGCUGGGGGUGAAAGGCCAAUCAAACCGGGAGAUAGCUGGUUCUCCCCGAAAGCUAUUUAGGUAGCGCCUCGUGAAUUCAUCUCCGGGGGUAGAGCACUGUUUCGGCAAGGGGGUCAUCCCGACUUACCAACCCGAUGCAAACUGCGAAUACCGGAGAAUGUUAUCACGGGAGACACACGGCGGGUGCUAACGUCCGUCGUGAAGAGGGAAACAACCCAGACCGCCAGCUAAGGUCCCAAAGUCAUGGUUAAGUGGGAAACGAUGUGGGAAGGCCCAGACAGCCAGGAUGUUGGCUUAGAAGCAGCCAUCAUUUAAAGAAAGCGUAAUAGCUCACUGGUCGAGUCGGCCUGCGCGGAAGAUGUAACGGGGCUAAACCAUGCACCGAAGCUGCGGCAGCGACGCUGAUGCGUUGUUGGGUAGGGGAGCGUUCUGUAAGCCUGUGAAGGUGUGCUGUGAGGCAUGCUGGAGGUAUCAGAAGUGCGAAUGCUGACAUAAGUAACGAUAAAGCGGGUGAAAAGCCCGCUCGCCGGAAGACCAAGGGUUCCUGUCCAACGUUAAUCGGGGCAGGGUGAGUCGACCCCUAAGGCGAGGCCGAAAGGCGUAGUCGAUGGGAAACAGGUUAAUAUUCCUGUACUUGGUGUUACUGCGAAGGGGGGACGGAGAAGGCUAUGUUGGCCGGGCGACGGUUGUCCCGGUUUAAGCGUGUAGGCUGGUUUUCCAGGCAAAUCCGGAAAAUCAAGGCUGAGGCGUGAUGACGAGGCACUACGGUGCUGAAGCAACAAAUGCCCUGCUUCCAGGAAAAGCCUCUAAGCAUCAGGUAACAUCAAAUCGUACCCCAAACCGACACAGGUGGUCAGGUAGAGAAUACCAAGGCGCUUGAGAGAACUCGGGUGAAGGAACUAGGCAAAAUGGUGCCGUAACUUCGGGAGAAGGCACGCUGAUAUGUAGGUGAAGUCCCUCGCGGAUGGAGCUGAAAUCAGUCGAAGAUACCAGCUGGCUGCAACUGUUUAUUAAAAACACAGCACUGUGCAAACACGAAAGUGGACGUAUACGGUGUGACGCCUGCCCGGUGCCGGAAGGUUAAUUGAUGGGGUCAGCGCAAGCGAAGCUCUUGAUCGAAGCCCCGGUAAACGGCGGCCGUAACUAUAACGGUCCUAAGGUAGCGAAAUUCCUUGUCGGGUAAGUUCCGACCUGCACGAAUGGCGUAAUGAUGGCCAGGCUGUCUCCACCCGAGACUCAGUGAAAUUGAACUCGCUGUGAAGAUGCAGUGUACCCGCGGCAAGACGGAAAGACCCCGUGAACCUUUACUAUAGCUUGACACUGAACAUUGAGCCUUGAUGUGUAGGAUAGGUGGGAGGCUUUGAAGUGUGGACGCCAGUCUGCAUGGAGCCGACCUUGAAAUACCACCCUUUAAUGUUUGAUGUUCUAAC